rnacentral:rRNA from 1 species
AACCUCCGCAAUGUGAGAAAUCGCGACGGGGGGAUCCCAAGUGCCAUUCUUAACGGGAUGGCUUUUCAUUAGUGUAAAGAGCUUUUGGAAUAAGGGCUGGGCAAGACCGGUGCCAGCCGCCGCGGUAACACCGGCAGCUCUAGUGGUAGCAGUUUUUAUUGGGCCUAAAGCGUCCGUAGCCGGUUUAAUAAGUCUCUGGUGAAAUCCUGUAGCUUAACUGUGGGAAUUGCUGGAGAUACUAUUAGACUUGAGACCGGGAGAGGUUAGAGGUACUCCCAGGGUAGAGGUGAAAUUCUGUAAUCCUGGGAGGACCGCCUGUUGCGAAGGCGUCUAACUGGAACGGUUCUGACGGUGAGGGACGAAAGUUAGGGGCGCGAACCGGAUUAGAUACCCGGGUAGUCCUAACUGUAAACGAUGCGGACUUGGUGUUGGAAUGGCUUUGAGUUGUUCCGGUGCCGAAGGGAAGCUGUUAAGUCACCGCCUGGGAAGUACGGUCGCAAGACUGAAACUUAAAGGAAUU